CCGUCGAGAGGGGGGGGUAACCAGGGUAGUUACCAGGGGGCCCGGGGCCUUGAGGGGCCCGUAGAAAAUAAGGUAUGUAUUUUUGGCUAUGAGUUUUCAAUUAGCAGCAUUAGCAGAGCGGGCCCAUGACCCGAUUGAUAUUCGAAAUUUAAUCUUUCAACAUGGGAUCAACAUACUGGUCUAUGAUGAGGGCCUUUUCUUGUUAAGGUUUAUAAUUAAAAUAUUGACGAUACGAUCAUAACAUACUUCUCCGGAAGCCGAAAAAUUCGAUUGCACUCACAUAUAUCUACUUUUAGGUCAAAUGUUUUAGUUCUUUCUUGUGUUGACUUCUUAUAAACAUAAAAGUAAAUCUUCCAUUCACGGCGUACACCAGAGAAGAAGCACAUGCGAAGAACCAUAACAAAUCCAAACGCUAUAAAAGUCUUAACCAAAAUCACAAAGCGGGAUCACGAUCCAACCAACCCCUGCGAUGUCAUCUUACAUCGGCCCGGCCUUUUACAGUCCAUCUAACUGCAUUGCUAAGGGCGUAACCCAAAAAAGGUUUUUUCAGCCUUCGACGGUGGGGCCCCAUGACAGUCCCAGCCCUGGGGCCCGGCCCGUCUCUCGACGGCCCUGCUUUGCUGUCUUAGGUCAAUAACUUUUCUCAUUUUGCUUUAUUCUAGACAAAGGCUCUUUCAGCUGCACAAAUCGAGAAAUCAAUUGAGAAGGAACUUUUGGAAAGACUAAAGAAGGGAACAUAUGGUGACAUCUACAAUUUCCCCUCAACUGCGUUCGAUAAAGCUCUAGAUGAAGAAGAACUUGAGUCCGAUCACGGGGAAGCUGAGUAUGAAGACUUGGAAGUUGAAGAAGAAGAGGUUAGUUUGCUAAAUUAUUGAACUUAAUUAAUUAUGUAAUUUUCGAGAUCUCAAUGCUUUGUAGCUUGUAAUUUAUUUUGCAAAGCAAAGGUGGCCGGAAUAGUUGCAAUGUGUACCAGUGUUAAUGUAUUGUCUUUAGGUAAAGGGUUAGCGUCAAAAGUCGAUAGCAUGAAUCAAAGAGUAGGUGGGGCAAAUAGUUAUGCGUGUAAUGUUUAGGGAAUAUUUCAGCGUUGCCGUUUAAAAUGUCUUUAUCAUUUAU